GCCUUCUUAACUCAACCRGUAGAGAGCAUGGCUUUUAACCAAGUGGUCGUGGGUUCAAUUCCCAUAGACGGCA
rfam:Nelumbo nucifera unplaced genomic scaffold scaffold00156, whole genome shotgun sequence